UACAGAGGGUGCGAGCGUUAAUCGGAAUUACUGGGCGUAAAGCGAACGUAGACGGUUGGAUAAGUCGGAUGUGAAAGCCCCGGGCUCAACCUGGGAAUUGCAUUCGAGACUGUUCAGCUAGGGUGCGGAAGAGGGAAGCGGAAUUUCCGGUGUAGCGGUGAAAUGCGUAGAUAUCGGAAGGAACACCAGUGGCGAAAGCGGCUUCCUGGUCCAGCACCGACGUUCAGGUUCGAAAGCAUGGGGAGCAAACAGG
rnacentral:rRNA from 1 species